rnacentral:rRNA from 1 species
AUUGAACGCUGGCGGCAUGCUUUACACAUGCAAGUCGAACGGUAACAGGUUAAGCUGACGAGUGGCGAACGGGUGAGUAAUGCAUCGGAACGUGCUCGGUCGUGGGGGAUAACGCAGCGAAAGCUGCGCUAAUACCGCAUACGAUCUGAGGAUGAAAGCGGGGGACCGUAAGGCCUCGCGCGAUCGGAGCGGCCGAUGUCAGAUUAGGUAGUUGGUGGGGUAAAGGCUCACCAAGCCAACGAUCUGUAGCUGGUCUGAGAGGACGACCAGCCACACUGGGACUGGGACACGGCCCAGACUCCUACGGGAGGCAGCAGUGGGGAAUUUUGGACAAUGGGCGAAAGCCUGAUCCAGCAAUGCCGCGUGCAGGAAGAAGGCCUUCGGGUCGUAAACUGCUUUUGUACGGAGCGAAAAGGUCUCCUCUAAUACAGGGGGCUCAUGACGGUACCGUAAGAAUAGGCACCGGCUAACUACGUGCCAGCAGCCGCGGUAA